rnacentral:pre_miRNA from 1 species
AAAAAGACAAACCCUAGGUUUCCGUGCCCAACGUUUGACUGUUCGUCUUAUAUGAAAUUUUUUAUAAUUAGUAUUUUCAUUGUUGUUAGAUGAUAAAACAUAAUUAAUAUUUUAUGCGUAACUUAUCUUUUUAAUUUUUUUCAUAAUUUUUUCAAAUAAAACGGACGGUCAAACAUUGGACACGGAAACCCAGGGUUUGUCUUUUU